rnacentral:lncRNA from 1 species
UGUAGACGUUCUUCCAAAUGCCAAUGGUCCAUUCUAAAUACCUAUAUGAUGGAGCAAGUAAAGUGAAACAAUUUGCUGUAAGCUCUAUUUUGGACAAUGGAGAGAAACAGAAGAAACACUAUUUUUAAGGUACUUAUUUUAGUUCCUUUUUUUUGCCCCCUCCUUUUAAAGUGUUUGCUUGUGACGCACUGUUGUUUUUCUGGGAAUAAAAAUGGUUGCGUGUGAAUUCUUCGGUCCAAUUCCGCGCAAGCUAUAUCUCUAGCAGCUAGCAUGGCAUUUUACUUGUACCUGAUGGUUUCUCUUCUGCUGGGUAUGAAAUUUUUACUGGGUAAAUUGUCUUCAGAUCAACGUUUUAGCUGGUUUUUGCUAGCAAUCGUUCUUACUUGUUAAUUACUGUUUAAUCUGUCUUUCAACUAAAUUUCCUGUACUCAACUGGUGAAUUUGAUUAUAUUUGGGAGACUUCUCAAGACUCAAGCAUUGUACUUCUAAUUGUCGUAAAGCAUAGUGGGGAUCAACCAUGUAUAAUCAUUAAGUGCUGAUGGGAUAUCCACAGAAGGGGUUUUCAGAUUUUCAAGCAACGUCAUUCUUUCUUUCCAUAAAUGUGCAACGUUCUUCGGUCCAUUGUUCUUUUUUUUUUUGCUAAUUGUGCUGUGUCUUUGUUUGCGAAUGUGACUAACAGAAACUACAAGUGGAACUUAGGGAUGUUCCCUUGAAAAAUCACAGGUAUCCAUCUCAUCUUUGAAGUAGGUAGUCUUGCCAGGAACAAUUCUGGAAGCAAAAUCUACUUUUGUGAACCUUAUUGGGAUAAAUGACAGAAUAUAAUCCAGUGAUUACAUUUUAAUGCUGUAUGUGAUGCAUGAGAACAGGUUUGUUUAUCUGGAAACUUUUCAGCUCCACAUCCAAAACAAACUACUAUAUGGAUAUGGCAAUAUGCACAGAAAAACAUGCUGGUUUUUCCUUUUUUUUUUUCCCACUUGGAUAGCAGAGUUCAGGGUUUUGUUUUUCCUAUUUCCUUUGACUAGCAUGGAGAUAUCUUGAGAGCCAUUUCAUGCAAAUGGAUCCAAUCUGGCCUUUGUUGCUGAGAGAUUUCACAUUUGAAGUUUGUAGUGCUUUGGCCAAUCACCUGUGCCUGUUAAAUUGUCCUUCAACUUCUAGGUUUGCAUUAUUCAAUUAAAGGAGAUCAUCCUCGAGAGUCUUUGCACUUCGAGUUGCCAAAAAGGCAGAGUGGGGAAUAUAAGAUUGCUCUUUUAUUUGCUAUGAGAUAUCCUGGGUAAAGGUUUUUCAAAUUCUGAAACAAGAUAAUUGCAUUAUGAAUGGGCAAGUCCAUAGUUUUCAAUGUUUCUCAGUCUCCAGUGAGUUGCACCAUGGUUCAUGAAAAAAAAGGAUGACAAUGGGAGUGGGAAUCCUCCAUUUGUUCAAAUUCAAAGGUCAUACAACAUCUUUUCUCUGUUUAAGUUGUAUGCAGCCUUUCCCUGGGAUCAAAUGAUAUUUCUUUUUUUAUGUUCUUCACGUUGUUUUUGAUUCACUGGAAGGCAGAUUUUAAGCAUUGACAGUUUUUUAAACUAUUUACACUGGAGCGUAGGACCCAAGAAGUGAAAAUUUAGAUUAAUUCUUUAAAUGAACCCCUAGAACUUUGAAAAUUGAAUUAUUCUCAUUUGAAAACUUAUUUUUCAUGUGAUCAUCAGAAGGCUAGUUUUGCUUUUGGAGCGAUUGUUUUGCAUAGUAAAACACUCAAAACUUCUUUCUAGGGAAUAUAUUCAACUCAAAGUAGACUCAAACAAGCCUUUUAUGUGUUCUUCUAUUGCAGUAUAUUGAUCAUUACUUCUAGCACAAGGAUAGAGUUGUAAUCUUACCAUAUUAGUUAAAAUCGUAUUGUCUUUGCCUAUUGUAUUUUACUCCUUGUGAAUAUAGACAUGAUGACUCUAGUAAUUGUAAAUUAUGUAAAGUCAUUCUUUUUUGUCAAGAUUAUGUUUGUUCCCGUGUUAUUAGAAAUGCUUUGUGCUUCAUUUCAUCAGAAGGCACUUAAAAAUAAUUACAUCAAAUGUUCUUCAUCUUUUUCAUUCUUUCUACAAUUUUUUCUUCAAUUUAACACUUGACCAGGAUAAUUCUGCUCAAAUGGAGAAGUAAGUUCAAGUAGUGGGAUAGAAGGAAAGGAGGUAUACAAACAGUGAUUUGGAUUAAAGUGGCAGAAGUAUUUUCUGUAGCAACAAUUAAUAAAAGAUUUUGCCACUACAGAACUUAGUAGGAAUGCAGUUUCUAGCCUCAACUAAUUCGGGAUUGAGGUUAAGUUUUGUAGAGUUAUGUCAUGAAUGUGAUGAUGUCAUGAUUCAACUUGAUUACAUCUUUAGCCAAAUUUGCAUUAUUAGAUGUACUUCUUCAUUACCACUCCAUUGGUAUUAAAAAGUAUAAAUGGAAGAUAAUUUUAUCCUACCAGAUCCAUAUCUUUCUGCAUGUUUUAAACUAUCUCUAUAUAUUGUCUAUUGAGGCGGCAAUUUGCUACGAUGUGGAUUUGCCAACCUAAAGCUGUGACCUGGUCACAACAAGAGUGUUUGGGUUGUGAGAAACAGAGGGAAAGUAAGGCUAAAAGGGUAUGAAAAAGAGAAAGAGAUGAGAAGAGAAGAGAGGGAAGAGAGAACAGAGAGAUAGAGAGAGAUAAUGACUCAGAUGAUUAAGUUUAAGCCCAUGUUCUUUUUGCCUUGUUCCUUGUGAUAUGGAUUUCACAUUGUACUAACUUUUAACUUAGUUCUGCCUGCUUAAUGUGAUGUAUUUAUAACUAGUUAACUGUUGAUAUUGUCUUAUGCGUGACCUGACGUGGUGUAAGCUAUGCUAUGUGUCACGGUUUCAGAUUUCAGCAAUCGCCUGGAACCGUGCGGCACUUGAUUCGAAUACCUUCAAGCCAAGUCAGCCUUAAGAAUCACCCGAUACCCUGUGAACAUGAGUACCCUGAUUAGUCAAGGUUAUAUAAGCGAAUAGCGAAGCCAACAGGCAGCAUUCCAUUAGAAGCCUCACAGUAGGCACAAAAGAUAAGAACAGAACAUGGGAAUUCAUGAACAGGCUACUUAUUUUAUUACAGGGGCAAAAUAGUAAUUAUACAUUAUCAUCGAUGCAAUCGUUACAAUAAUUCUCACCUCCCUUGUAGACAGGGGGACGGUCUACAAGGAGUGAAGGCACAACUUGGAUCUCCGUAGGCCUAUGGUAGCCAACUGGGCCCAGCCCCAGCUGGUGGCCAACUAGUUACUCCCCCCUAAAGAGCCUUAGGAACAACUUGGCUUGUGACAGGAGGAGACAUCAACAUAUCUCAUAUGACACCCCCCUAAAAUAAAUACAUGAAAAGGAAUUACAACAAAUUGUCUCGGCCAUUAUCUUCCUACUAAUUUCUACUAUUUUAUCCCAAUAUUGCUUUCUAGGAAUUUCAAUGUUGGAAAAUUACAGUUUUGGUCCCUGAAAACUCUAUGACCCUGACACUCCCCCACUUAAACAGUCGACGUCGUCGUUGACUGAGUUUGUUGGGGUUCUUCAAUCUUUGAGUCCGACAUUCUUAGGCUUGCAGUGUGAUUUGAUCCCAGUCCUGCUCAAUUAAAUUGUUGGACAGCCUUAAUCCUUAGUAUCUCCUCCCAAUUGAUCUCUGUGGACUGCUAAUUCUUAAUGAUGAUGAGACUACAAAAGCUCUAUCUUCUGGUGGUAAAUGUUCUGCCCUUGAUUCCUUAGACUACUGCAAAUGGUGCUAGAAAUUAUUGCUUUCCUCCUCUGCACGAACUUAUUGCCUGAAGUCAUUGAUCACUGGUACUUUUCUCCUUAACUUGUCUCGCCAUUACUUGUCUUUAAUUGUCGACCUUACUCUUUGCCUCAAAGCACGACCCCAUGGUGCAACAAAUCUAUCAACCUGCAUACACUCAUGCCAUAUGACAUCAUGAUUAACCUGUAAUAAUCUCAUAAGAAAGGAUAGUACUAACCACGUUAGAAUCAAAUACAAACUAAUAUAGCAAGUCAUCUAGAACACAAUCCAUUAUAAAUUAAUAGGUGUGACCACAGCACUUGUCCACUAAAAUUGGAACUGUCUUUACCCAUCCGCUUGACAUAACACAACGUUAUUCCACCUGUAGCGAAGCUCGGCGAAUCCUCCUAAGGAACUGGUGUCCCUAUUGUCAAAAGAGUUCGCUCAACACUCUCUUUCUCCUUUUGUACGCCUUAUGUUCCUCCCUUCAUAAGCUCUGGUAUUAUGUACACUUUAUCUCUUUUUCCUCUCCCUAAGAAUGUAGUCUACGCAAAUGCCUACAAAACGUCUCCCAUUACACACACAAAAUAUCCACGACCACUGAAAAGGGGCAUUUUCUUGUUGAACCCUAUGAGCCACAGAAAUCUACUCAAAACAACUAUUAAGAUUGACUAUACAUGAACCAAUUAAUACCAUCAUCAUGACUUGACACCAAGAAAUUACUAGAAGAUACUCCCUUUCUUAUACUGCUUUCAUCAUAGCUCACAACAUCGAUUCGCCUCACCAACUUGCCUCAAGCAACCUGCGCUUCUCGACCCAUCUCGGUCCUUCCCCACGUUGAUGCACUUAUGAGAACUUUUAUUUGGCCAUGAGGUCUCUUUCCUGCCCGACAACAAAGGUAGGACUACAUUUGUCCUUUUUAAUUACACAUUAUUAUCCAAUCCCUUUUAAGGCAGCUACAUCCUAUAUGUUCACAAUAUUUGUUAGCACAAACUUGUCAAGUUCCACAUCGAGGAACCUGACUCAAUAAUCCACAAAAUAUUUCAGAAUAAAUGAAUAACUAUAUAAAGUAAGGUAAGGAAUGAUAUCAGGAAACACAAAAACAUUAUACUCAUCUGAUAUGAGAGGGUUCCCUCUCGUUAAAUUCCUUUCUCUCGUACUGAAUGAUCAUUAAGGAUCUCCAUCUCUCAUCAUUACCUUGAGCACCACACUCCUUUGACCAGUUCAAUAGUCCUCACUUCUGUCAGUUUUCGCUUAUCCUCCUUCCUUUUGUCGUAGGAUGAGUGAAUUAUUUGCUUCCACAACGUUGUUGCUCCCAACGGUAUUUGAUGCCACUCUUGCCCAAUGUUACCAUACAUUCCUAUGGGUUGUCCUAUCAAAAUGUUUACUUACCUCUAAGAGAAUGAAUAUGUGCUCAACAAUCAUAGUUGGUUGGCACUUCUCAGACAUUAUCCCAUACUCUGGUACUUGUUGUUUUCAUUUCAUCCCCUCUGGACUCCCAUCUAUUCCUCUUUUCCGACUCAUUUUCAUCCUCGCAAAACUUAGUCUUGGUUUCUUUUUUCUUUUAUUUUUUUUUUACUUACGCACGGCUAGACAAUACUUCAUCGAAUGCUACUUUUCGUUGAGUUUACCCUUGCACCACUUCAUGCUUGGAUAGCCACUAGUUUCCUCUUCACUACUCUCGAUUACCUCUCCUUUAUCAAGGAAUAAUUGUUGGUAAAAAAUAGAGAUAAUUUGUGUCAUUCUGGGAGACGCCACAUCAAUUAACGUCCCAGGUUCACUAAAAAGAAAUUGUGAAGUCCAUCUUGCUUUUUGAUGUCCUCAAUUAAGCGAGUUUAUCAAAGGACAUGCUCAACUUAAUCCCCGCACUCAAGUUGUCUGCUUAGUCUUUAUUUCCUCAUAUCAUCCACUUCAGUUUUAUUUGUGAUUCUCACAAUUGUGUAAACAGUGUACAAAUCUUGUAUUUGUGCCCGCUUUGUAGCAUCAACUCCGCUAUACUUGACACUGGGCAACAAUAUGUUGUUUUAUACUAGCUUCGAUUCUCAUUUCUUCUCUUAGAGUCCUCAAGAAGACUUUGAAGAUCUUCUCCUCCAUCCCAUGUCCCUUAUUUAACUCAACACUCACAGAAUAUUUCCAUCAUGCUUGAUCCCUUCACGCGAACAAUACUACCUUAGGCGGGGAGGAACAAGAAAGUACAAACAACCUAGAGUUGACAACUCUAUGAUUUAUACCUAAUGUUUCCUCCCCCUUUACUCACCAUGUCCCUCAAGACCUUCGACACAUUUCCACACCAGCAACUUGUAAAAUCAUAUGGCUUUCUUCAUAGAGAACACUUCAUACUGCUUAGUUAUGCCACUUCCAUGUGCUCUUGUUUACCACCUUUCAGACCGCUCCCCCACUUAUUGCUUUGGCCCAUCUUCUUAGGCGGCUAUCAAUCAGAUAUCAGAGUUGAAUAUUCCUUCAAUUCCUUGGUAAUAGAACCAACUCAAUAUUGGUUGCCCUUUACUCUACACCAUAAUCCUCCAGGUUCUGACCUUCUUCAGGAAGGUUUCAAGCUCAGUCAUAUCUCUUGAAUUGUUGUCACAAUCCGCUUACUCUAUUAAAAAUCAAGUGCCACGUCCUCUUGUGUCAUCCAUAGAUGCUGAAAAGUUCCUUUAUGUACUUUCCUUAUGAACACCUUGUUGGAGUUUACCAACUCUCUUGAAUAACAAAUGUUACAUUCUUAUAGUAAAACUGGAGCUUAUCAUUUCAUAUCCCCCUUUUCUCAUGUAUAGAGUGAACACUCUCUAUUCAUGGGACUUUACCCUUUCAUUUUUAGAAUAGAUUUAGCUUUAUAGCUUGAUCCCAUAAACGUUGUUCUUUAUAUGUCUGCACAGUCACCAAUCCCAAUAAUAUUAAUGCAUAAGUUCAUAUUGAAGAGAAAAUUAUUUACCUCCAUUCCACAACAAGGAUUGAAGUUUUGGGAUUCCACCCGUGCCUACUUCAUAGGCAUUAGCUCGUGAUUCACGCCAUUGAUAAUUGUUCCUCUGGUUCACUUCUGAAGUAUUGCUCAUAGUCUUUCCUAUGUCAUAUUUAAUAUUAUUGCACCAUUCCUGCAAGUAAAACAAAAUACAUGAGAGGCUUUUGCCUCAAUUCUGUCUCGGGAGGCCUCUUGCCUCAAUUCUAUCUCCGGAGUCCUCUUGCCUCAAUUAUGUCUCAGGAGGCCUCUUGCCUCAAUUCUGUCUCAUGAGGCCUCUUGCCUCAAUUUUGAGUGGAAUGGUCUCGGGAUUCUCGGAUGGCCUCAAGCUCUAUUGGCUCAUCCUCCCCCUUAUCACUAUACCCUGAGGUCAUUACUCUCUCUCCAAGGGCCACUAAAAGGAAGUAUGUAGCACCUAGUCAUUACCCUCUCUCCAGAAGACAUUUCCAAUGGAGUGUGCAGUACUAGGUCAUUACCUCUCUCCCGAUGGUGUCCCUAGUGGAGCGUGCAACACCUCUAAUUAAUAUGGCCAGUCUAGCCCGAAAGCUCAUGCUUUUGUCUUCUUCACCUCAUAAUGUGCUACUACUCCUCGUAGCUUCAUAAUUGGAGGUCACUGCCUCCCCCUUUCACCACUUUAGGCUCAAGAUCACCCCACCGGGUGUCAUUCGCAUGAAGGAGAUUUUGGAAGGCCUCAAUCUCCCGCCAAUUUGGCUAUCAUAGCCAACAACCUUCAUUUUUAUUAUAUAUAUAUAUAUUUUUUUUUUCACUCUAGUGCCUCAAGGCACUUCUAACCAGAAUCAUCUCCAAUGCGUUUCCCUCUUAGGUGGCAUAGACAACCAACCAGGCAGCGCGAUUCUCACCCUUCUCUCAAGGGCCUUUGUGCAGGUGCUAAACUUCGUCAUUCUUGCUCGCAGAUCUUUCUUGCUCUGAUACCAAUUGUCACGGUUUCAGAUUUCAGCAAUCGCCUGGAACCGUGCGGCACUUGACUCGAACACCUUCAAGCCAAGUCAGCCUUAAGAAUCACCCGAUACCCUGUGAACAUGAGUACCCUGAUUAGUCAAGGUUAUAUAAGCGAAUAGCGAAGCCAACAGGCAGCAUUCCAUUAGAAGCCUCACAGUAGGCACAAAAGAUAAGAACUGAACAUGGGAAUUCAUGAACAGGCCACUUAUUUUAUUACAGGGGCAAAAUAGUAAUUAUACAUUAUCAUCGAUGCAAUCGUUACAAUAAUUCUCACCUCCCUUGUAGACAGGGAGACGGUCUACAAGGAGUGAAGGCACAACUUGGAUCUCCGUAGGCCUACGGUAGCCAACUGGGCCCAGCCCCAGCUGGUGGCCAACUAGUCACUCUUCCCUAAAGAGCCUUAGGAACAACUUGGCUUGUGACAGGAGGAGACAUCAACAUGUCUCAUAUGACACCCCCCUAAAAAAAAUACAUGAAAAGGAAUUACAACAAAUUGUCUCGGCCAUUAUCUGCCUACUAACUUCUACUAUUUUAUCCCAAUAUUGCUUUUUAGGAAUUUCAAUGUUGGAAAAUUACAGUUUUGGUCCUUGAAAACUCUAUGACCCUGACACUAUGGAUGAUUUUGCUCCAUGUAUAUUUGUUUUUUGAGAUGCAUUAAGUCUAUAUCAUUUUAAAUGGCUAACAAUUUAAGAGCAAUAGCAAAGGGCUAUAUUAAGUUUUUCCCUCUCAUUCUCUUAACGACUUCAACCUGAAAGCAUAAGAAGCUGUUAAUGUUCUUGUUGACUUAUUUGCUGAUCCUAACUGAUUCUAGGGAUAUGAUUUGAUUUGAUUUGAUUAGGAUUCUUAAUUAUCUCUGUAAUUAUUAUUUGAUUAUUUAUUUCCUGUUUAGAUAUAAUUCUUUGUGUAUAAAUAGUCAUAUAAACCAAUUGUAAAGAUUAAGAGUGAAGUACAAGAAUUCUCUAAAUUUUUCUAAAAUUCUUCAUGGUAUCAGAGCCUUUUCCUGAUUUUAGGGUUCAAAUUUAAUUUUUUCCUCUUUGAAACCCUAGAUUUACCUUUUUUUGUACUAACCCAUCUAGGAGCCUUUCCUCCUCUCACCGCCGGCUCCAGAACUGUCGCAGGCCGAUCGCCCAGCUCCGACGUCGAAAAAGCCUGCACGUGAGGCUCACGCGGCUCCCUUUCCCGGCGCGUGACCAAUCGCCUAACGCUGCUUCGCGGCUCCGAUCACUUCGGCGACGAUUCCGACCAUCUUUCCAGCCUUCCCGUGCCGCUACCUGGUCUUUUGGUGAAUCGGUUGGGCUCUCUUGUGUGUACAACCUUGGGUACCUCCUAUUCUUUCACGGUUCACAAAUCUUUACCAUGGCAGAAGGUAAAAGAGUCUCGAUUCCUAACUCUGAUUUCUCGUCCUCCGGUGCCACAUCUAACUUUGUAAAGUCAGGUAAUGCUUCCUCUCUUAAUAAUGUUCCAUGGAUUAUCGAUUCUGGUGCAAAUAGACACCUGACAGGCUCUUCUAAAGGCUUUCUCAAUUAUUUUCCUUCUCUAACCAAAGAUAGUGUCAGAAUUGCUGAUGGCUCUUUUACUCCCAUAUCUGGAACAUGUUCUGUUAUUUACACAUCCAACAUUAAAUUAUCAUCUGUCCUUCAUAUUCUCCACUUUCCUGUCAACCUUUUAUCUGUCAGUGCUAUUACCAAUGCCCUUAAUUGUAAAAUUGAAUUCUUUCCUGAUCAUUGUGUUAUUCAGGAUCUUCGCACAGGAAAGAGGAUUGGCAAUGGUAGGCUGCAUGAUAGCUUAUAUAUGUUGGAGGGUGAUCCAGGUUUUUCGAUAUCUCAAGCCUAUUUUGGAGAAAAUAAGGAUGUCAAUCAGGAAAUAAUACAGUGGCACAAACGGUUAGGGCAUCAAUCAUUUUUUGCCUUAGAAAAACUUUAUCCUAAUUUGUUUGCUAGAACUCGAUUUGAUUCUCUAUUUUGUGAUACUUGUGAGUAUGCUAAACACACUAGAACAUCCUAUCCUUUGAGUCAUAAUAAAAGUCAAAUUCCUUUUGGGACUAUUCAUUCUGACGUUUGGGGGCCUACUCAAACUGUCUCCUUGUCUGGUAAUCGAUGGUUUGUCACCUUUAUUGAUUGUUGCACUCGAAUGACUUGGGUCUAUUUGUUUAAAGCUAAAAGUGAUGUCUUUUCUUGUUUUCAAUCCUUUCAUAAGAUGGUUUGUACUCAAUUUGAUACUAAGGUGAAAAUUUUGAGAACUGACAAUGGAAGAGAAUAUAUGGAUAGUAGCUUUUCUACUUAUUUGGAGAGUAAUGGGAUAGUACACCAGACUAGUUGUCCUUAUACUAGUGCUGAAAAUGGUGUUGCUGAGAGGAAAAAUAGGCAUCUAUUGGAGGUAGCUCGAUCUCUUAUGUUCACCAUGAAUCUACCCAAAGCAUAUUGGGGAGAUGCAAUUCUUGCAUCUGCUUAUCUUAUCAAUAGAAUGCCUCUCAAGACCCUUAACUUUAUGAGUCCUUUGGCGGUUCUACAAGGGAAGAAUUCAUACAUUGUUCCACUAAAAGUAUUUGGGUGUGUUUGCUUUGCCCAUACUAGGACGGCAGGAAAAUUGGAUCCCAAUGCCCUUAAAUGUGUGUGUUUGUUGGGUAUUCUCCAACACAGAAGGGAUACAAGUGUUAUCAUUCUCCCUCUAGGAAAUACUUAGUUAGUAUGGAUGUUACUUUCCGAGAAACUGAACCCUACUUUAGUACCACCCACUCACCUCUUCAGGGGGAGAAUAAUGAGCAAGAAGAGGUGAUCCCAAAUUCUAUGAUUCUAAAUGAUAUGACUCAACUAGAAAGUUUGAAUUCUAGUAGACAGGGGGAGAUGUCCAAUCAGGGAGAGAGAACUGGUCGUUUGGACAAGCCAUAUUUGAGAAGGUAUUCGAGGAGAGACAAGGCAGAAGAAGUCAUUAUGCAGUCUACUCAGAGUCAAGAAUCUUCUCUUGGUGAGUUACCCAGUCAUGAAUCUUCUUCUGGUGAGUUACCCACAACUCUUUCUUCUGGUGAGUUACCCACAACUCUUGAAUGUUUCAAUGACUUAGAUAAACCUAUUGCACAAAGAAAAGGGGUCAGAUCUUGUACUAAAUACCCUAUUUCUAACUUUGUUUCUUAUGAAUCCUUAUCUCGUUCCUAUAGAGCCUUUGCCUUGUUUAUUUCUUCUGUGUCUAUUCCACAGGAUUAGAAGAAAGCUCUUGCAGAUCCUAAAUGGAAGAAAGCAAUGAUUGAAGAGAUGAAAGCAUUGGCUAAAAAUGAGACUUGGGAGCUUGUCACUCUCCCACCUGGGAAGAAACUCGUUGGCUGUAAAUGGGUGUUCACAGUGAAACACAAAGCUGAUGGCACAAUUGAAUGGUUUAAGGUCAGAUUGGUUGCUAAAGGAUUCACCCAAAUCUAUGGAGUGGAUUACCAAGGGACAUUUGCCCCAGUUGCAAAAAUGAACUCAAUCAGAGUUUUGUUAUCCUGUGCAGCCAACUUGGACUGGGACUUGCAACAGUUUGAUGUGAAGAAUGCUUUCCUCCAUGGAGAUUUAGAGGAAGAAGUGUUCAUUGAAAUUCCUCCUGGGUUCGCUGAUGAGAAGACACAAGGAAAGGUGUGCAGGUUAAAAAAGGUUUUGUAUGGACUAAAACAAUCUCCUAGAGCUUGGUUUGACAGGUUUAGCAGAGCUAUGAUGUUCUUUGGUUACCAACAAAGCAAUGCUGAUCACACUCUGUUUAUCAAACAUCACAAGGGUAAGAUCACCCUUCUUAUUGUUUAUGUUGAUGAUAUAGUGGUGACAGGCAAUGACAAAGAGAAAAUGACUUAACUAAAGAGGUUGUUAGCUCAGGAAUUUGAAAUCAAAGAUCUAGGAAAACUGCAAUAUUUCCUAGGUAUUGAGGUGGUUAGAUCAGAAAAAGGAAUUUUCAUCUCCCAAAGAAAGUACAUUAUGGAUCUGUUGGAAGAAACUGGUAUGAUGGGGUGUAAAUGUAAUACCCGGCUAGACUCCGGUGUCGGAAUUCCAACCUUCCGACGGAAUCUCCGUUGAAAUCCGGAAUCUCGGAUACCGGAACCUCUUAGAAGGGCAAAAUAUGUUUUUACAAAAUGUUUUCAUGAUUUUAUUGAUUGGUUUUUAGUUAAGUUUUAAAAUGAAAGAAAAAAUAUUUUUGAGGGACAAGUCCAGGUUCGGCCGCCGAACAUGGUGCUGCCGCGGGAGCUCUCCUUUCGGCCCCCGAAGGUGGUCUAGCCAGCCACCUAUAAGAGGCCUCCAGUCCAAAAAUGGGGGAGUUUCUCUCUCCAUUUUCAGGCAAAGGUGAGUUCUUGCCCUUCCUUUGAUGAUUUUAUGCUUUUCCUUCAAAUUUUCAUGAGUUUUCGUUUAUUUUUGAAGUUUUAAGCUUGGAUCAAAGAUUUUAAAGUUUGGGAGACCGUUUCUCCUCAACUCCAAGCUUGGGUCGCAUCUACCUUAGAUUGUCAAGAGGUAAGUGUAGAUCCUUGUCUUUUCCUAUGUUUUAAGUAAGUUUUAAAAAGGGUUAAGGAUUAAAGAUGCGGUUUUGAGUUGGAUUUUUGAUGAAUGUAUGCUUAUGUGAUGUUCUUGUUGUUGUUGUUGGGGCUUAAGUUAGUUUUAUGCCCCUUAUGCUUUAUGGAGUGAGUUUUUGCAUGUUUUGAGAAGUUGGGUAUGAGUUUGGUGAGUUUUGGUGGCUGAGUGUUGAGGCAGAAUCGGGUUCUGCCAUCCUGGAGAACCCAGGUUCGGCCGCCGAAGCAAGAUUUGGCUGCUGAACCUGCAUGGGAGCAGCCUUUUGGCCGCCUAACCUGUCCCCGAAAGCAAGCACUUUCGGAUCUGUCAGGGAGUUUCGGCUGCCGAACUCGUCCCCGAAAGUCUCUGACUUUCGGAUCUGUGGAGGACCUUCGACCACCGAACCUGCCCCCGAAGGACCCCGACUUUCGGAUCUGUAGAGGACCUUCGGCCGCCGAAGGUGCCGCCGAAAGUCCUCUGCCCAGCCUUCCUUUGCUUGUUUUACAUGUAUGUUUAGUGAUGUUUUAGGGGGUUUUUGGAGAGUUGUAUGGAGUCAUGUUUUAGCUAUGUUUGGUCCUUCAAGGGAGUCCAUCUGUGUAGGAUCGGACCUGGGAGACCGUAGAGGCCAGCAGUGAGUCCGCUGCUUCAGUUUUAGUCAGACGUCAGCCAGAGAUGAGUAGAACUAAACUAAUCUAUUAUUUUUAAAAUAAUCAAACUUUUAAGCAUGUUCAUGCAUCAUGAAUGCCAUGUUAUGUAAUAGGUUGUUGCAUUAGAAUUCACGAAUAUGAUGCAUUGCAUAAUUUACUGUUGAUGUGGAUGGAUAUUGGAUGACCCAUUAGCCCUUGAUAUGAUAUGAUAUGAUAUGAUAUGAUAUGAUACGGAAGUCCAGGUCGAGACCCAUUCUACGCCUCUAGUACGAUGUAAGAGAAAGUCCAGGUCGAAGUCCAUUUUACGCCCCUGGCACAGUUGGAUAUAUUAUGUUAUGUUUAAGAGGAAGUCCUAAGGAGUUCUGUCGAGGGCCGGGUAUUAUUUGGAUAUGUAGAGGGUUACUGGUGACAAGUUCAUCUUGAUGUGUAUUGUUUGUGUUGUGAUGCAUUUCAUGAGAGCAUAUGAUUAUUAAACUGUUUUUAUAUUCUGCUCACUAGGCUUUUGUAGCUUAUCCCUUUUCCGUAACCCCAGGUUUGCAGGAUCAGAGAUAGAGCGGAAAGUCGGCAUAGUAGCUAGUAUAGUUUAAUGUAAUAGAAUAGAAGUGGACAUAUACUAUGUAAUGGAUUAGAUUUGUGCUUCGCCCUAGUUUAUGUUUUGUAAAUCCCUGUAAACAUAAUUUUUAUAUAAAAGUUUUUAUGAUGAGUUAUGUUGAACCAAGUUUGAUGUAUGUGAUUGACUAUGCUAGAGCAUUUGAUGGGGGCUCUAGUGUGGAUUUUAUGUAUACAGUUUGUGAUGCAUGCACAGGUCGAGCUUGGUAUAUGGAAAGUUUAAAUUUUUUCAUGAAAAUGUAUGAUCAUGUAAGGGAUUUUAUCAGGUACACAGGAGGUAUAGUAGGCUUGCUACGGGUUUCGGCAACCUUAAGUCGAUCUGAAUCCUAGCGCCAGUAGCGGUUCGGUUUCUGGGUCGUUACAGAGUGGUAUCAGAGUCCUAGGUUCAUAUGGUCGGACCUAGCGUGUCGGGCUCAUAGAUGUUAUAGAAGGGUAAGCACAUUAGGAAAAAUCAUGUCCACUAGGAUAGGAUGUAGAGUCCUGUCUUGAUGAUGUGAAAUGCCAUGAUAUUAUGCAUGUGCAUUAAUGAUAUGUAUGAAUGUGAUGUGGGUUCAUGUGUGUCCACAUGAACCAUAUGAUGCUAAUGUUUAUGUGAUGUAUGUCGUUUUUUCAGAAAUCAGAAUGCGAGACACUCGUGGAUCUGCGAGAUUGACUGGAGUUCCACCUGAAAAUGAGGGCAUGGAUGCCCUUCCCCCUGCUCUGCCAAGAGCACGGUCAAGUAGAACCAGCAGAGGAGAAACAUCAAGGGACCCUAGAAGGUCUUUUGAUGUAAACAGGAGGAGAACCGAUCCGGGUAGGAUGUCAGCGGAUGUGAGGGAAUCAGUGGAAGAUGAUCAGAGGAGGGAUGACAGUUUGGGUGUGAGCAUGUCAGAAGAGGGUAUGGGAGAAUCACAAGGAGGCGCUCAGGCCUCGGGUUUUGCUUACCCACCACAGUACCAACCCUACCCACAGGGACCGGGGUAUCCGAUGGGAGGCACAUCGGAUUUCUCUAGUUACAACCCAUAUCCCUCAUUCAUGCCCUAUCCUCCCUACUACCCUCCAUAUCCACCCUACCUCAUGUUUUCACCCAACCUUUCUAUCAGAACCCAGCAAAUCCUAACCCAGAGAAUGUUGCACCACAUCCUCCUCCCCCAGUAGAACCGGUGGUUCCUGAAACCCAAUCAUCCAGACCCAACCCAUCAGAUGGGAGCAAGGUAAAAAUGACAGAUUAUCUGAAGUUAGAUGCUCCCAAGUUUAAAACAGGUGAUGAUCCGUUCGAGUAUCUCAAGACGGUGAAAAUGAUAAAUGUAAGAAGGGGAAAGAAUGGUUUAAAAAUUAUGUGGACCCGAGACUGGACAGCCUAUCAUGGGAGCAGUUUGCUAAUGAAUUUGCAGGAUGGGCUUUUCCAGAUAGUUCAAGGGAAUUGAAGGUAAUUGAGUUUGAGCAGUUGAGACAAACUAAAGACAUGAGUGUAGAUGAGUACACAGACAAAUUCCUUGAGUUGCUUCAGUUUAUGAGACAGGCAUAUGAUACGGAUCAGAAGAAAGUCAGGAGGUAUACCAUGAGACUCCACUCAAGGUAUUCCUCUCUGAUCUUAGCGGCAGAGAGGGAGAGUUUUCACAUCAUAGUAGAUGCAGCCAGAAAGAUGGAGGCUAGUGUCAUUAUUCAGGGGACAGUAAAACAACAGGUGGCACAGCCCUCGGGUUCCAAAACUCCAAGUUCAAGAAAUUUUGAUCUCAACUCUCUGGGUGAAGCUGCCACGAAGGGUAAGAAGUGGAACAAAUCCAAGCCUAAGAAGAACAAUUUCUGGAAUAGGUUAAAGUCUGGUCUGGGAAUGGGUGGUGGUUCGAGCUCUGGUUCGGAUAGCUCCGGAUGUAUGAGGUGCGGUAAGCCGCACAAAGGGGUUUGUCGGUUUGGGACUACAGCAUGUUUCAGAUGCGGACAGGAGGGGCACAUGGCACGUGAGUGUCCCAGUGCAGUUAUGAUGGCUCAGUCCCAGCGGACAGCUUCUGGUAGCGUGGCCCAGCCAGCAGUUCCAACCAUGUCGCAGGGCAGAGGUUGAGGUAGAGGGAGAGGGACAGCCUCUUUUUCAGCAGGUUCUCACGGAGAAGGUCCAUCAGCUCCAACACGGAUCUUCACCAUGACUCAGCAGGAGGCUAACACAUCGAACACGGUGGUGUCAGGUAAUCUCAUUAUUGGAUGUUCUGAUGUGUAUGCUCUUAUGGACCCUGGUGCUUCUCAUUCUUUUGUUGCUCCGACAGCCGUAGACAGAGUGGGUUUGAUAGCUUCUGGGCUAGAGUGUCCUCUUUGGGUCAGUGGGCCCAAGUGUGAUCCAUCUGUGGCGAAGUCAGUCUGCCGGUUCAGUCUAGUAUUUGUUGAGGGUAGGUGCCUUCCAGCUGACCUUGUGGUUCUAGAUUUGAUAGAUUUUGACAUCAUUCUAGGGAUGGAUUGGCUUUCUACUCAUGGUGCUACCUUGGACUGCAGAGACAAGGUAGUCAGGUUCAGAGAUCAGGAUGGAUCAGAGGUAGUCUUCAGAGGGGACAGGAUAGGGAUGCCUAGAGGUUUGAUAUCUGCCCUUCAGGCUCAUAGGUUGCUUAGGAGGGGUUGUCAGGGGUUUCUUGCUCAUGUCGGAGAGCUAAACAGUCAGGUUAGGGAACCAGCUUCAGUGCCCGUAGUCAGAGAGUUCCUAGAUGUUUUCCCAGACGAGCUGCCAGGUUUACCACCUGCUAGGGAGAUAGAGUUUGAAAUUGAAGUGAUGCCAAGAACCAGACCCAUCUCUAUCCCUCCCUACAGGAUGGCGCUUGCAGAGUUAAAGGAGUUAAAGGAGCAGUUGUAGGAGUUGGUAGGUAAGGGUUUCAUCCGACCUAGUACUUCAUCUUGGGGUGUUCCGGUCCUGUUUGUGAAAAAGAAGGAUGGAUCCCUAAGACUUUGUAUCGACUACAGACAGUUGAACAAUGUCACUACCAAGAACAAAUAUCUGCUAUCCAGGAUUGAUGAUCUAUUCGACCAGCUAUCAGGAGCCGGUUGUUUCUCGAAAAUAGAUUUGAGAUUCGGGUACUACCAGUUGAGGGUUAGAGAAGAAGAUGUGCCAAAGACAGCUUUCAGGACCAGAUAUGGGCAUUUUGAGUUCCUAGUGAUGCCAUUCGGGCUGACCAAUGCCCCUGCAGCAUUCAUGGACCUCAUGAAUAGAGUUUGUACUCAGUUUCUGGAUCACUUCGUUAUUGUCUUCAUUGACGAUAUCUUAGUGUAUUCCAGGAAUGCGGAGGAGCAUGCCCAUCAUCUGAGGAUAGUGUUGCAGACCCUGAGAGAACACAGCUUGUAUGCCAAGUUCUCUAAAUGUGAGUUCUGGUUGAAGAGCAUUUCUUUCUUGGGCUUUUAUCUUAUGAGAUCCGGGGUUGGGGAAUUCCCCGAUCCAGUCCUUUCUUGAGUACUUAAGUUUAGUUUAACAAGGGCAUGAAGUGUCAGAAAAGGGAGUUGAGGUAGAUCCCAAGAAAGUUGAAGCUGUAGCAAACUGGCCUAGACCCACUACAGUGACAGAGAUUAAGAGCUUUUUGGGUUUGGCGGGUUAUUACAGGAGGUUUGUCCAGGACUUCUCUAAAAUUGCCGCUCCUAUGACCAAGUUGACCAAAAAGAAUCAGAAGUUCGUUUGGUCAGAACAGUGUGAAGAAAGUUUUGAAGAGCUGAAGAGGAGACUGACGUUAGCACCGGUGUUAGCUCUGUCUACCAGUAAUGAAGACUUCACAGUGUUUUGUGAUGCGUCCCGAGUGGGACUAGGUUGUGUGUUGAUGCAGAAUGAAAGGGUGAUUGCUUAUGCUUCUAGACAGUUGAAGAAGCAUGAGUUGAAUUAUCCUACACACGACCUAAAGAUGACAGCUGUAAUCUUUGCACUCAAGAUGUGGAGGCAUUACCUGUAUGGGGUAAGAUGUGAGAUUUUUACAGAUCAUAAGAGUUUGCAGUACAUCUUGAGUCAGAAAAAGUUGAACCUGAGGCAGAGAAGAUGGGUGGAGCUGCUUAGUGACUAUAAUUGCAAGAUCCAAUAUCAUCCGGAUAAGACAAAUGUAGUAGUAGAUGCUCUCAGCCGGAAAUCACUUGGCAGUUUAUCCCAUAUUACAGCAGAGAGGAGACCGGUGGUGAGGGAAUUUUACAAGCUCAUUAAUGAAGGUUUACAGUUAGAGUUGUCUGGUACAGGUGCACUAGUGGCUCAGAUGAGAGUGGCACCCGUGUUUCUGGAACAAGUGGCAUAGAAACAGCAUGAGGACCCCAAGUUGGUGAAAAUUGCUAGGACUGUUCAGUCAGACAAAAAUGAAGAGUUUAGAUUCGACAACAAAGGGAUCCUCCGUUAUGGGAACAGAUUAUAUGUACCAGAUGACGUGAGUUUGAAGGGAGGCAUUAUGAGGAAAGCUCAUAAUGCGAGGUACAGCGUUCACCCUGGAGCCACCAAAAUGUACCAGGACUUGAAGAGAGUUUAUUGGUGGCCAACUAUGAAGAGGGAAGUGGCGCAGUUUGUGUCAGCUUGUGAGAUCUGUCAAAGGGUGAAACUGGAACAUCAGAAGCCAGCUGGGAUGCUCAACCCACUACCGAUUCCAGAGUGGAAAUGGGAAAACAUGGCUAUGGAUUUCGUAGUGGGAUUACCAGCAACGUCCAACAGAUUAGACUCUAUAUGGGUAAUAGUGGACAGAUUGACCAAGUCUGCUCACUUUAUCCCUGUCAGGAGUGGCUACUCUGUGGACAAACUGGCACAAGUAUAUGUUGAAGAGAUUGUCAGGCUGCAUGGGGCUCCAAUAUCAAUAGUGUCAGAUAGGGGACCCCAGUUUACCUCCAGGUUUUGGCGGAGUCUGCAGAAUGCUAUGGGCACAAGGUUGGACUUUAGCACUGCUUUCCAUCCACAGAAUGACAGACAGUCAGAGAGGACCAUCCAAACGAUUGAAGACAUGUUGAGAAUGUGUGUGCUAGAUUUUGGCGGUUCUUGGAGGCAGCAUCUACCACUCAUGGAGUUUGCCUACAAUAACAGUUAUCAUACUAGCAUAGAGAUGGCUCCUUAUGAAGCUCUAUAUGGGAGGAAGUGCAGGUCACCUGUCUGCUCGGAAGAAGUAGGAGAAAGGGCCUUGGCAGGGCCAGAGUUAGUUGAGAUCACCAGCAGGGUAGUACCUAUUAUCAGAGAAAGAAUCAGGACUGCUGUGAGUCGGCAGAAGAGUUAUGCAGAUGUCCGUAGGAAACAUGUUGUGUUCCACGAGGGAGAUAUGGUGUUGCUCAAGGUGUUUCCUAUGAAAGGGGUGAUUCGUUUUGGGAAGAAAGGUAAACUAGCUCCAAGGUACAUCGGACCCUUCGAAAUCUUGCAAAAGGUUGGGAAUGAUAAGCUAGAUUUGUCUGCUUCUAUGGAGAGAAUCCAUCCGGUUUUCCAUGUUUCCAUGUUACGGAAGUUUGUGUCAGAUCCAGACAAGGUUCUUAAUGAGCCUGAUGUAGAGAUCCUAGGAGAUCUCACCUAUGUUGAGCAGCUAGUGCGGAUCAUAGACACUCGAAUCAGAAAGUUGAGGAACAAGAAAAUCGCGAUGGUGAAAGUCCUUUGCAAUCACCACAAUAUGGAAGAGUGCACCUGGGAGACUCGGGAGUCCAUGCUCCAGCAAUACCCCUAUCUCUUUUAAGGUUAGUGUUUUAAGUUUUAUGUAUUUUCUUGUUGCUAUGUUUGCUUGUGUGUUGUUUGAACAUUCGGGGACGAAUGUUCUAAAAGGGGGAAGAAUGUAAUACCCGGUUAGACUUCGGUGUCGGAAUUCUAACCUUCCGACGGAAUCCCCGUUGGAAUCCGGAAUCUCGGAUACCGGAACCUCUUAGAAGGAUAAAAUAUGUUUUUACAAAAUGUUUUCAUGAUUUUAUUGAUUGGUUUUUAGUUAAGUUUUAAAAUAAAAGAAAAAAAUGUUUUUGAGGGACAAGCUCAGGUUCGGCCGCCGAACAUGGUGCUGCCGCAGGAGCUCUCCUUUCGGCCCCCGAAGGUGGUCUGGCCAGCCACCUAUAAGAGGCCUCCAGUUCGAAAAUGGGGGAGUUUCUCUCUCCAUUUUCGGGCAAAUGUGAGUUCUUGCCCUUCCUUUGAUGAUUUUAUACUUUUCCUUCAAAUUUUCAUGAGUUUUCGUUUAUUUUUGAAGUUUUAAGCUUGCAUCAAAGAUUUUAAAGUUUGAGAGACCGUUUCUCCUCAACUCCAAGCUUGGGUCGCAUCUACCUUAGAUCGUCAAGAGGUAAGUGUAGAUCCUUGUCUUUUCCUAUGUUUUAAGUAAGUUUUAAAAAGGGUUAAGGGUUAAAGAUGCAUGUUAUGGUUAGAUCUAAUGUUAUAGGUUUUGAGUUGGGUUUUUGAUAAAUGUAUGAUUAUGUUAUGUUCUUCUUGUUGUUGUUGGGGCUUAAGUUAGUUUUAUGCCCCUUAUGCUUGAUGGAGUGAGUUUUUGCAUGUUUUGAGAAGUUGGGUAUAAGUUUGGUGAGUUUUGGUGGCUGAGUGUUGAGGCAGAAUCGGGUUCUGCCAUCCUAGAGAACCCAGGUUCGGCCGUUCGGCUGCCGAACCUGCAUGGGAGGCAACCUUUUGGCCGCCUAACCUGCCCUCGAAAGCAAACACUUUCGAAUCUGUAAGGGAGUUUCGGCCGCCGAACCCGCCCCCGAAAGUCCCUGACUUUCAGAUCUGUGGAGGACCUUCGGCCGCCGAACCUGACCCCGAAGGACUCCGACUUUCGGAUUUGUAGAGGACCUUCGACCGUCGAAGGUGCCGCCAAAAGUCCUCUGCCCAGCCUUCCUUUGCUUAUUUUACAUGCAUGUUUUGUGAUAUUUUAGGGGGUUUUUGGGGAGUUGUAUGGAGUCAUGUUUUAGCUAUGUUUGGUUUCUCAUGGGAGUCUAUUUGUGUAGGAUCGGACUUGGGAGACCGUAGAGGCCAGCAGUGAGUCCGCUGCUUCAGUUUUAGUCAGGCGUCAGCCAGAGGUGAGUAGAACUAAUCUAAUCUAUUGUUUUUAAAGUAAUCAAACUUUUAAGCAUGUUCAUGCAUCAUGAAUGCCAUGUUAUGUAAUAGGUUGUUGUAUUAGAAUUCACGAAUAUGAUGCAAUGCAAUUUACUGUUGAUGUUGAUGGAUAUUGGAUGACCCACUAGCCCUCGAUAUGAUAUGAUAUGAUAUGAUACGGAAGUCCAGGUCGAGGCCCAUUCUACGCCCCUGGAACGAUGUAAGAGAAAGUCCAGGUUGAGGCCCAUUCUACGCCCCUGGCACAGUUGGAUAUGUUAUGUUAUGUUUAAGAGAAAGUCCUGAGGAGCUCUGUCGAGGGCCGGGCAUUAUUUGGAUAUGUAGAGGGUUACUGGUGACAAGUUCAUCUUGAUGUGUAUUGUUUGUGUUGUGAUGCAUUUCAUGAUAGCAUAUGAUUAUUAAACUGUUUUUAUGUUCUGCUCACUAGGCUUUUGUAGCUUAUCCCUUUCCCGUAACCCCAGGUUUGCAGGAUCAGAGAUAGAGCGGGAAGUCGGCAUAGUAGCUGGUAUAGUUUAAUGUAAUAGAAUAGAAGUGGACAUGUACUACCUAAUGGAUUAGAUUUGUGCUUUGCCCUAAUUUAUGUUUUGUAAAUCCCUGUAAACAUGAUUUUUAUAUAAAAGUUUUUAUGAUGAGUUAUGUUGAACCAAGCUUGAUGCAUGUGAUGUUGACCAUGCUAGAGUAUUUGAUGGGAGCUCUAGUGUGGGUUUUAUGUAUACAGUUUGUGAUGUAUGCACAGGUCAAGCUUGAUAUAUGGAAAGUUUAAAUUUUUUUAUAAAAAUGUAUGAUCAUGUAAGGGAUUUUAUCAGGUACACAGGAGGUAUAGUAGACUUGCUAUGGAUUUCGGCGACCUUAAGUCGACCUGAAUCCUAGUGCCGGUAGCGGUCCGGUUUCCGGGUCGUUCCAGCAGAAUCUCCCAUUGAAAGUAAUCACAAGUUGAAAGUAAAAACUAGUGAGUCCGUGGAUAUUGGAAGAUACCAGAGAUUGGUAGGAAGGUUGAUUUAUCUCUCACACACUCGAUCGGAUAUAGCCUAUGCUGUUAGCUUAGUCAGCCAAUUCAUGCAUGACCCUCGCGAGACUCAUAUGCAAGCUGUACUUCGCAUCUUAAGAUACUUAAAGUCUGCGCCAGGGAAAAGGCUUCUUUACUCCAAACAGGGUCACCUCCGAUUUGAAGCUUUUAUAGAUGCAGAUUGGGUAGGAUCUCUCGAUGACAGGAGAUCCACCUCUGGCUACUGCACAGUUGUGGGAGGGAAUCUUGUCACCUAAAGGAGCAAAAAACAAAGUGUUGUUGUUCGGUCAAGCGUUGAAGCAGAAUACAAAGCAAUGGCCCAAGGUGUGUGUGAACUCUUAUGGUUAGAGAAGUUAUUGGAGGAGUUGAGGUUGCUCGAGAGAGACAAAAUAACUUUAUAUUGUGACAAUAAAGCUGUUAUAAGUAUAGCACAAAAUCCAGUCCAACAUGACCGGACGAAACACAUUGAAAUUGAUCGGCACUUCAUUAAAGAAAAAUUAACGGACGGUAUCUUGAGUCUAGUUCAUGUGACUUCUACUGGACAACUUGCGGAUGUGUUUACUAAAGGGCUCAACAACAAGAUCUACCAUAAUUUGAUUUGCAAGUUGGGCAUGUGCGACAUCUUUGUACCAACUUGAGGGGGAGUGUUGACUUAUUUGUUGAUCCUAACUGAUUCUAGGGAUAUGAUUUGAUUUUAUUAUGAUCCUUAAUUAUCUCUGUAACUAUUAUUUAAUUAUUUACUUCCUAUCUAGAUAUAAUUCUUUGUGUGUAAAUAGUAAUAUAAACCAAUUAUAAAGAUUAAGAGUGAAACACAAGAAUUCUCUAAAUUUUUCCAAAAUUCUUCAGUUCUACACACGCAAACAAAAUAAAACUGGGGGAACGUGAAAGGAAGAAGCUGCUCAAUAUUUCCGAAGAUGCAGGGUCAAAUAUUUUUUGCUUGCUUACAGGCUUUUUGAUAACCAAUAACUAUGUCCAAUUCUGCAUUUGAUGAGAUGUUCUGUUGCUAGUGGAAGAAGUAUUUAUUAUAGCUGAUGUGUUUUACUCAUUACCCUUCCAAACUGAUGUUUCCUUUUGUGGCAUUACCACUUCAUUUGCUAUUGUGACUUGAGCUCAUGCAAGUUGCUCAUUAUUAAGGAAACAUAGAAUUAUAGGUGAAAGAAUAAACUUCUUGUUUGUGUUUACAUCAAUACUUUAACCUUUUGUGGAUUUUGGAAGAUCUUAGGGAAAAUGCAGCACUACCAUUGCUAGUUUGUACGUCUACCUGUUCAAGUGAAUUGCUCCGUUCAAUUAUUCAGAACUCAGAAGCCCGCACAAGGCAUGAAAACAGCCUGUAUAUGAAUAAAAAAGAGCAAUAAAUGAUGCAAAUGAGAUGCUUUUAGUUAUUCGAUACACUUGUAAUGUUCCACCAUAUUUUGGAUGUCUGAAAAGUUACAGAUAAGACACAGGAAUUUUCUAUGGGUUUCAUUGGGUAAUGGAUGAACUGAGCAACACCAUAGUUUAUUAUUAUCAUUAUUACUAUUAUUAGUGCUUGAAAAGGGAGAAAGGAAGUGUGGAGGAUGUCAACCAUUAAAUUUAAAGUAAGAUGGGUGAAAUGGAGAAUUGCAAGGAGUUAACUAUUUAAUUGCAAAAUACUAGCCAAGUUGAAGGGGAAAUUUUUAGGAUCACAAUUCAUUUGCCAUGACUGAUGACGCAUGGUAAUGAGUGUUGGGUAAGUAAAGAAACAACAAUUUAACAAAAUUAGUGUGCAAAAAAGAAUGACAAUUAAGUAGUCAAGGAAAGCUAGAUUUAGGAAUUAUUUUUGUUUAUACUUUUGUUUAAGUUUUAAUUGUGAAACUAAGAUCUUUAUAUUUUCUAGUGCAAUUCUACUAAAAAGUUUAGAUUUUUAUUACUUAGGGAUUCUUUGUAGUAAGUAGAAGUAUUAGAAUGUCAAUAAUGGUGGUAUAUAUUUUCCUAAUUACCACUAGUUUAGAAUUUACUUUGGGAUUCCUAACCAUGGUAGUAGCAUGAAUUAUUAGUCUAUAAAAUUUAAAUACCUAUGUGGCUUACGUGUUAUCUGGGCUAAUUUGCUAUUCAAAUUAUUUAAAGUUCGAAUCAAAGUUUCAUGCUUCGUGUUUGUGAGUUCAUUUAUGGUUCUAUAUGACUUUGGUAUAUGAAUGCAAUUUUAGGAUGGUGGAAGUGGCUCCUUUGGAGGAAAAGUUGAGAAUAGAGAUAUUGAAAUAAUUUGGACAUUUGCAUUGUAGAUGAACAUAUGUGCUUACAAGGGAAUCUAGGAUGAAGUGGAGGGAAAGAGGGAAAAAGUAUUUGGUGGGCCUAGAUCUUUUCAAAGAUGUAGCCCUAAACCAGGUGGAUAGGAAAAUGAUUUUUAUAGUCAAUCCCAACGCCCAAUUAAUGUGGGAUUGAAGUUCAGUUGAGUCUAGUACUAGAGGCACCAUCUAUAUCUACCAAAAUAAAAUGUAUUUGUUCUUAGGAAAUGCAUACGUAUAUUGUCUUGGCAAAAGUACCCAUGAUGUAUUAUUAUUAUUAUUAUUGUUAUUAUUAUGAUAAUUCCAAGGACAUGGACUGUUCUGUGAAAUUUACAUGAGAAAAGUUAUUGUAGUAAAUGCUGAAUUCUUUGCCAAUGAAGUGAAUUGUAAAUGUCAGUUAAGGUAUCAUAAUAUCAUCAUUGGUGUCUGACCAAAAACAACUGUAAUUGUGAACCUAAAAAUAAAGUGCUCAGAUACUGGCCACUUAUUCCAUUGACCACUGUUUUACAAUGCCUCUUACAUUGGGCAAAGGGCAAUAUUUUCCAAUCCAUCUGAAUUCUACUGUUCAGAGAGAUGUUUCAAGGCCUAGAGUUUUUCUUGUUUCUUACAUUCUUAGCAUAGUAAUUGUGUCCACAUUUACUAACAUCUUGUUGGUCAAUUGUCAACUCAUAAAUUUCUGUUUGGAGGUGAUUUUUGUCAAUAAAUAACUGUUUGUAUGUCUUUUCUGAUACUAACUGAAGAUGCUAUUUGCAUCAGAAAAGCAACACCCAGGAAGCAAUGCUAUAAGCAGGACAACAGCGUUCUAGCAGAGGUAGUUCUUGGCGUUUUUACCCUAGAACGUUUUGGAUUUGCUCUUAAGAUUAUCAAUUAUUGCUUUUUCAUCCAGCAAGUUUUGCUUCUGGCUGGAUGGUGUUAAAUUUGGGUCAGGCCUAACUCAUCCCGAAAGCUAACUCAAGGGGAAGGAUCGCCUAUGGACCAUAUAAGGGGCACAUUACCCCUUUCCACAACCGAUAUGAAAUUCAACACACCCCCACACACCCAGAAUUUUACCAAUGCGUGACAUAUUCAUGGGAGGCCCAAUAUCGGAUGGAUGGGGAGGCUCUGAUACCAUGUUAAAUUUGGGUCAGGCCUAACUCAUCCCAAAAGCUAGCUCAAAGGGGAGGAUUGUCUAUGGACCAUGUAAGGGGCAUAUUACCCCUUUCUACAACCGAUGUGGAUUCAACAGAUGGUAAUGUAGAUUUUCCAGUGGCCUUUGUGAUUUUAAAAUUUUUAAUGCUUAUUUGACAUGUCAAC